CAGGUCUUAUUAAUCAGGAGACAAAAAGGUGAUUCAAAAACUAAUGUUGGAAAGAAAAAGAGAGUCCUAAUCCUCUUCCUACAUUUAGCAUCAUGACCCGGCAUAAACAGAAAAAAUCCAGCAAGAAAUCCAAACAUAGCAA